rnacentral:rRNA from 1 species
AGUCACUGCUAUUGGGAUUCGACUAAGCCAUGCGAGUCGAGAGGGUUCGGCCCUCGGCUGACGGCUCAGUAACACGUGGAUAAUCUGCCCUUAGGUGGAGGAUAAUCUCGGGAAACUGAGGAUAAUACUCCAUAGAUCUAGGAUGCUGGAAUGCAUCUAGAUUGAAAGCUCCGGCGCCUAAGGAUGAGUCUGCGGACUAUCAGGUUGUAGUCAGGGUAAAGACCUGACUAGCCUACGACGGAUACGGGUUGUGAGAGCAAUAACCCGGAGACGAUAUCUGAGACACGAUAUCGGGCCCUACGGGGCGCGGCAGGCGCGAAAACUUCACACUGUGCGAAAGCGCGAUGAGGGAAUCCCAAGUGUUUGCUCGUAAGAGUAAACUGUUUCUUUGUUUAAAACGCAGAGAGAGUAAGGGCUGGGUAAGACGGGUGCCAGCCGCCGCGGUAAUACCUGCAGCUCAAGUGGUGAUCAUUAUAUUGGGCCUAAAACGUCCGUAGCCGGUUUAGUAAAUGCCUGGGUAAAUCGUGUAGCUUAACUAUACGACUUCCGGGUAGACUGCUAAACUUGAGACCGGGAGAGGCUAGAGGUACUCCUGGGGUAGAGGUGAAAUUCUGUAAUCCUAGGGGGACCACCAGUGGCGAAGGCGUCUAGCUAGAACGGGUCUGACGGUGAGGGACGAAGCCCUGGGGCACAAACCGGAUUAGAUACCCGGGUAGUCCAGGGUGUAAACGCUGCUUGCUUGAUGUUAGUUGGGCUCCGAGCCCAACUAGUGUCGGAGAGAAGUUGUUAAGCAAGCUGCCUGGGAAGUACGGUCGCAAGGCUGAAACUUAAAGGAAUUAGCGGGGGAGCACAGCAACGGGUGGAGCGUGCGGUUUA